rnacentral:rRNA from 1 species
GCUUGCUGCUUCGCUGACGAGUGGCGGACGGGUGAGUAAUGUCUGGGAAACUGCCUGAUGGAGGGGGAUAACUACUGGAAACGGUAGCUAAUACCGCAUAACGUCGCAAGACCAAAGAGGGGGACCUUCGGGCCUCUUGCCAUCGGAUGUGCCCAGAUGGGAUUAGCUAGUAGGUGGGGUAACGGCUCACCUAGGCGACGAUCCCUAGCUGGUCUGAGAGGAUGACCAGCCACACUGGAACUGAGACACGGUCCAGACUCCUACGGGAGGCAGCAGUGGGGAAUAUUGCACAAUGGGCGCAAGCCUGAUGCAGCCAUGCCGCGUGUAUGAAGAAGGCCUUCGGGUUGUAAAGUACUUUCAGCGGGGAGGAAGGGAGUAAAGUUAAUACCUUUGCUCAUUGACGUUACCCGCAGAAGAAGCACCGGCUAACUCCGUGCCAGCAGCCGCGGUAAUACGGAGGGUGCAAGCGUUAAUCGGAAUUACUGGGCGUAAAGCGCACGCAGGCGGUUUGUUAAGUCAGAUGUGAAAUCCCCGGGCUCAACCUGGGAACUGCAUCUGAUACUGGCAAGCUUGAGUCUCGUAGAGGGGGGUAGAAUUCCAGGUGUAGCGGUGAAAUGCGUAGAGAUCUGGAGGAAUACCGGUGGCGAAGGCGGCCCCCUGGACGAAGACUGACGCUC